rnacentral:rRNA from 1 species
ACUAAGCGUACACGGUGGAUGCCCUGGCAGUCAGAGGCGAUGAAGGACGUGCUAAUCUGCGAUAAGCGUCGGUGAGGUGAUAUGAACCGUUAUAACCGGCGAUUUCCGAAUGGGGAAACCCAGUGUGUUUCGACACACUAUCAUUAACUGAAUCCAUAGGUUAAUGAGGCGAACCGGGGGAACUGAAACAUCUAAGUACCCCGAGGAAAAGAAAUCAACCGAGAUUCCCCCAGUAGCGGCGAGCGAACGGGGAGGAGCCCAGAGCCUGAAUCAGUGUGUGUGUUAGUGGAAGCGUCUGGAAAGGCGCGCGAUACAGGGUGACAGCCCCGUACACAAAAAUGCACAUAUUGUGAGCUCGAUGAGUAGGGCGGGACACGUGGUAUCCUGUCUGAAUAUGGGGGGACCAUCCUCCAAGGCUAAAUACUCCUGACUGACCGAUAGUGAACCAGUACCGUGAGGGAAAGGCGAAAAGAACCCCGGCGAGGGGAGUGAAAAAGAACCUGAAACCGUGUACGUACAAGCAGUGGGAGCCUCUUAAUGGGGUGACUGCGUACCUUUUGUAUAAUGGGUCAGCGACUUAUAUUCUGUAGCAAGGUUAACCGAAUAGGGGAGCCGAAGGGAAACCGAGUCUUAACUGGGCGUUAAGUUGCAGGGUAUAGACCCGAAACCCGGUGAUCUAGCCAUGGGCAGGUUGAAGGUUGGGUAACACUAACUGGAGGACCGAACCGACUAAUGUUGAAAAAUUAGCGGAUGACUUGUGGCUGGGGGUGAAAGGCCAAUCAAACCGGGAGAUAGCUGGUUCUCCCCGAAAGCUAUUUAGGUAGCGCCUCGUGAAUUCAUCUCCGGGGGUAGAGCACUGUUUCGGCAAGGGGGUCAUCCCGACUUACCAACCCGAUGCAAACUGCGAAUACCGGAGAAUGUUAUCACGGGAGACACACGGCGGGUGCUAACGUCCGUCGUGAAGAGGGAAACAACCCAGACCGCCAGCUAAGGUCCCAAAGUCAUGGUUAAGUGGGAAACGAUGUGGGAAGGCCCAGACAGCCAGGAUGUUGGCUUAGAAGCAGCCAUCAUUUAAAGAAAGCGUAAUAGCUCACUGGUCGAGUCGGCCUGCGCGGAAGAUGUAACGGGGCUAAACCAUGCACCGAAGCUGCGGCAGCGACACUAUGUGUUGUUGGGUAGGGGAGCGUUCUGUAAGCCUGUGAAGGUGGCCUGUGAGGGUUGCUGGAGGUAUCAGAAGUGCGAAUGCUGACAUAAGUAACGAUAAAGCGGGUGAAAAGCCCGCUCGCCGGAAGACCAAGGGUUCCUGUCCAACGUUAAUCGGGGCAGGGUGAGUCGACCCCUAAGGCGAGGCCGAAAGGCGUAGUCGAUGGGAAACAGGUUAAUAUUCCUGUACUUGGUGUUACUGCGAAGGGGGGACGGAGAAGGCUAUGUUGGCCGGGCGACGGUUGUCCCGGUUUAAGCGUGUAGGCUGGUUUUCCAGGCAAAUCCGGAAAACCAAGGCUGAGGCGUGAUGACGAAGCACUACGGUGCUGAAGCGACAAAUGCCCUGCUUCCAGGAAAAGCCUCUAAGCAUCAGGUAACAUCAAAUCGUACCCCAAACCGACACAGGUGGUCAGGUAGAGAAUACCAAGGCGCUUGAGAGAACUCGGGUGAAGGAACUAGGCAAAAUGGUGCCGUAACUUCGGGAGAAGGCACGCUGAUAUGUAGGUGAAGCGACUUGCUCGUGGAGCUGAAAUCAGUCGAAGAUACCAGCUGGCUGCAACUGUUUAUUAAAAACACAGCACUGUGCAAACACGAAAGUGGACGUAUACGGUGUGACGCCUGCCCGGUGCCGGAAGGUUAAUUGAUGGGGUUAGCGGCAACGCGAAGCUCUUGAUCGAAGCCCCGGUAAACGGCGGCCGUAACUAUAACGGUCCUAAGGUAGCGAAAUUCCUUGUCGGGUAAGUUCCGACCUGCACGAAUGGCGUAAUGAUGGCCAGGCUGUCUCCACCCGAGACUCAGUGAAAUUGAACUCGCUGUGAAGAUGCAGUGUACCCGCGGCAAGACGGAAAGACCCCGUGAACCUUUACUAUAGCUUGACACUGAACAUUGAGCCUUGAUGUGUAGGAUAGGUGGGAGGCUUUGAAGUGUGGACGCCAGUCUGCAUGGAGCCGACCUUGAAAUACCACCCUUUAAUGUUUGAUGUUCUAACGUGGGCCCCUAAUCGGGGUUGCGGACAGUGUCUGGUGGGUAGUUUGACUGGGGCGGUCUCCUCCUAAAGAGUAACGGAGGAGCACGAAGGUUGGCUAAUCCUGGUCGGACAUCAGGAGGUUAGUGCAAUGGCAUAAGCCAGCUUGACUGCGAGCGUGACGGCGCGAGCAGGUGCGAAAGCAGGUCAUAGUGAUCCGGUGGUUCUGAAUGGAAGGGCCAUCGCUCAACGGAUAAAAGGUACUCCGGGGAUAACAGGCUGAUACCGCCCAAGAGUUCAUAUCGACGGCGGUGUUUGGCACCUCGAUGUCGGCUCAUCACAUCCUGGGGCUGAAGUAGGUCCCAAGGGUAUGGCUGUUCGCCAUUUAAAGUGGUACGCGAGCUGGGUUUAGAACGUCGUGAGACAGUUCGGUCCCUAUCUGCCGUGGGCGCUGGAGAACUGAGGGGGGCUGCUCCUAGUACGAGAGGACCGGAGUGGACGCAUCACUGGUGUUCGGGUUGUCAUGCCAAUGGCACUGCCCGGUAGCUAAAUGCGGAAGAGAUAAGUGCUGAAAGCAUCUAAGCACGAAACUUGCCCCGAGAUGAGUUCUCCCUGAGACUUAGAGUCUCCUGAAGGAACGUUGAAGACGACGACGUUGAUAGGCCGGGUGUGUAAGCGCAGCGAUGCGUUGAGCUAACCGGUACUAAUGAACCGUGAGGCUUAACC